rnacentral:rRNA from 1 species
AUUGAACGCUGGCGGCAGGCCUAACACAUGCAAGUCGAGCGGCAGCGGGAAAGUAGCUUGCUACUUUCGCCGGCGAGCGGCGGACGGGUGAGUAAUGCCUGGGAAAUUGCCCAGUCGAGGGGGAUAACAGUUGGAAACGACUGCUAAUACCGCAUACGCCCUACGGGGGAAAGCAGGGGACCUUCGGGCCUUGCGCGAUUGGAUAUGCCCAGGUGGGAUUAGCUAGUUGGUGAGGUAAUGGCUCACCAAGGCGACGAUCCCUAGCUGGUCUGAGAGGAUGAUCAGCCACACUGGAACUGAGACACGGUCCAGACUCCUACGGGAGGCAGCAGUGGGGAAUAUUGCACAAUGGGGGAAACCCUGAUGCAGCCAUGCCGCGUGUGUGAAGAAGGCCUUCGGGUUGUAAAGCACUUUCAGCGAGGAGGAAAGGUUGACGCCUAAUACGUAUCAACUGUGACGUUACUCGCAGAAGAAGCACCGGCUAACUCCGUGCCAGCAGCCGCCGUAA